GAUGAACGCUGGCGGCGUGCCUAAUACAUGCAAGUAGAACGCUGAAGCUUGGUGCUUGCACCGAGCGGAUGAGUUGCGAACGGGUGAGUAACGCGUAGGUAACCUGCCUCUUAGCGGGGGAUAACUAUUGGAAACGAUAGCUAAUACCGCAUAAAAGUCGAUAUCGCAUGAUAUUGACUUGAAAGGUGCAAUUGCAUCACUAAGAGAUGGACCUGCGUUGUAUUAGCUAGUUGGUGAGGUAACGGCUCACCAAGGCGACGAUACAUAGCCGACCUGAGAGGGUGAUCGGCCACACUGGGACUGAGACACGGCCCAGACUCCUACGGGAGGCAGCAGUAGGGAAUCUUCGGCAAUGGGGGCAACCCUGACCGAGCAACGCCGCGUGAGUGAAGAAGGUUUUCGGAUCGUAAAGCUCUGUUGUAAGAGAAGAACGAGUGUGAGAGUGGAAAGUUCACACUGUGACGGUAACUUACCAGAAAGGGACGGCUAACUACGUGCCAGCAGCCGCGGUAAUACGUAGGUCCCGAGCGUUAUCCGGAUUUAUUGGGCGUAAGGCGAGCGCAGGCGGUUAGAUAAGUCUGAAGUUAAAGGCUGUGGCUUAACCAUAGUACGCUUUGGAAACUGUUUAACUUGAGUGCAGAAGGGGAGAGUGGAAUUCCAUGUGUAGCGGUGAAAUGCGUAGAUAUAUGGAGGAACACCGGUGGCGAAAGCGGCUCUCUGGUCUGUAACUGACGCUGAGGCUCGAAAGCGUGGGGAGCGAACAGG
rnacentral:rRNA from 1 species